AAAAAACCCCAACCAAACAAACCAAACCAAAAAAACCCCCAAAACAAACCUGUAAAAAUUUAUUUAUUGGUAUAGCAAGCAGUAUUCAACCGGACCUUUUAGCUUCCUGUUAUGUUGUUUGUUAUCUUUCUCCGGAAGAACAAAAGUCUAGAUAAUGACUGUUCACAUGUGCAGUUUGUCUUGGCAUUAAUUAAGCUUACUUAAAAUUUAGAGAGGUUCUGAUCAGGUGCCUUGGUGUGGGAUAAACUGUUUAAGGAUCUCAUGCCUCUUUGGGACUGUAAAGGGUAGAAGUUAAAUGGGGGCAGAACAAGGUAGUUGUUUUGGGGUGAUGACUCUAAUGGAUGGAGUGAAGUCAGAUGUCUGAGAUAGUUACUGCUCCUGGCUGUGUAGGCAGUCAUCUUGUGGGAGGACGCAGCAUCCUCAUCUCCACUAGCAAUAUUAGCUCCCUGUUCCAGUCGUUUUUCCAUCUGCCUCUGAUGAAUAUGCUGUGAUUUACUGAAAGAUGUAGUGACAGGUGAGGUGAUAGUCUGUGGCUGGAAAUGAAGUAUGUCACUGAGCUGAUUGUAUUCCAAAGCCGUCCAAUGCUGUUUGAGCUCUAUUGAGGAGAGUCUGUAAGAUGAAUGAGCCCCCCCCGCCACUGCCUCAUUAGACAUCAGGGAAUCCAUGUGACUGAUUCUUACCUCUGAGGAAAAGCUUCAAUUGGACCUGUCUCCUUAGUAGACAAAGAAGGAAUCCAACUGGAAGACAUGGACCCAGAGGAAAUCAUGCUUUGCUGGUUCUCUGGCUCAUGCAACUCCUUGGUUUGUGAUUGGUCCCUUUGUCAUUACUAAUGCUUCACCUCCACUGUCCGCAGUGAUGGUGGGAUGUCAACUUUGAAUGGGAAUGGAUGGAAAUGUUCUGGCAAUGCAGGUAACUAUGGGGAAGGGGUUUGAAUGUAGAAGGGUUGUAAUCCCUAAUGGGAGCCUGAGCUGUGCCAUAAGGUCUGUUUGUGAAGAAAACACAGUGCUUGUGGAGAGUGCUUCAGUAUAGUAUUGUAUGUGCAAGUCAGUACAGUGCCUUGGGAUGGAUAAUUUUC